rnacentral:rRNA from 1 species
GACGAACGCUGGCGGCGUGCCUAAUACAUGCAAGUAGAACGCUGAAGGAGGAGCUUGCUUCUCUGGAUGAGUUGCGAGCGGGUGAGUAACGCGUAGGUAACCUGCCUGGUAGCGGGGGAUAACUAUUGGAAACGAUAGCUAAUACCGCAUAAGAGUAGAUGUUGCAUGACAUUUGCUUAAAAGGUGCAAUUGCAUCACUACCAGAUGGACCUGCGUUGUAUUAGCUAGUUGGUGAGGUAACGGCUCACCAAGGCGACGAUACAUAGCCGACCUGAGAGGGUGAUCGGCCACACUGGGACUGAGACACGGCCCAGACUCCUACGGGAGGCAGCAGUAGGGAAUCUUCGGCAAUGGACGGAAGUCUGACCGAGCAACGCCGCGUGAGUGAAGAAGGUUUUCGGAUCGUAAAGCUCUGUUGUAAGAGAAGAACGAGUGUGAGAGUGGAAAAGUUCAAC